rnacentral:lncRNA from 1 species
UGAGUUCAGUACUCAUGUAGUGUUAGAUACAUACACUAUACAAGUAUCAUUAACCAGUCGACCAACAAUCAAACAAGAACAUGAUCGGCCAACCAAUGAUACCGCAUAGCUUAUAAUAUCCACCACCCUUAACAAGCAAUCCCUCAAACACAUACAAGCCAACGUCAGGCCUACACUAACCAAAUACACACCAAGCCUAAUCUGGUACCUAAACCAGACUUAGGACUUAAAGUCAUAACCUGCAAGGAAACAAUCAACAACCAAACACAAUCACAAUAAUAACUAUGAGUAACUACGACUAGAUCUAACUCGUAAUACCAUAUAUCGGUGCUACACUAACUCGAGGGUUCCAUAACCCUCUAAAACAAACUAACACAACACCACACUCUAACCCGGGAAAUGGUGACUUUGUGUUCCUCCUCAUCAUCCUCGGUAAUAUCCUAUAUCC